GAUGAACGCUAGCGAUAGGCUUAACACAUGCAAGUCGAGGGGCAGCACAAGGUAGCUUGCUAUCUGGGUGGCGACCGGCGCACGGGUGCGUAACGCGUAUGCAACUUGCCCUAUACAGGAGGAUAACCCGUCGAAAGACGGACUAAUACUGCGUAUGCUCACAACUUGGCGUCAAGUGGUGAGGAAAGAAAUUCGGUAUAGGAUAGGCAUGCGUCCCAUUAGCUUGUUGGUGAGGUAACGGCUCACCAAGGCAACGAUGGGUAGGGGAACUGAGAGGUUUAUCCCCCACACUGGUACUGAGACACGGACCAGACUCCUACGGGAGGCAGCAGUGAGGAAUAUUGGUCAAUGGGCGCGAGCCUGAACCAGCCAAGUCGCGUGAAGGAUGACUGUCUUAUGGAUUGUAAACUUCUUUUAUACGGGAAUAACAAGAGUCACGUGUGACUCCCUGCAUGUACCGUAUGAAUAAGCAUCGGCUAACUCCGUG
rnacentral:rRNA from 1 species